AAGAGAGAGAGGGAGAGGGGGAAAAGCAGCUCCGCGCCUGCCGCAGAGCGUUUGCACGGAAAGCCCUGGAAGGGUUCCCGUUCCCCGGAGCCCUGCCGAUGUGGUGCACGCUCAGGUGGCGGGACAGGGAGCGUGUGGCCGGCGUGGGCCCGCGCUCAGAGCCCGGGAGGCCCGGCGGGAGCCGCUGCGCAGACAGCUUGCGCGCCUGACGCGCUGCCAGCACCAGAAGCUCGCCGCGUAUUUCUGUCUUGGCAGAUGCACGUCCUGUUGUAAAGGUCUGUUCGGCUCGUGCCUGCCUCGUUCCCAGGCAUUGCGGUGCCUUGUGGCCCAGCUGUCUCCUCUGGAUCUCCAGUGAGCCAGCACAGCCACGGCAGACCUGCGAGGUGACAACCAUGAGGCACACAGCAGGAGCUGAAGGCUAAGGUGCCAUUGGUGUGGAAGUGCAAAGCUCCAGGAAACAACUUGCACAGACAUGAUUGCCAGCCUCUGCUCUUACAAACA